CUAGCUACCAUGCUCCCUCGCGGUUCCCAGAAUUCCCAGCAUGGACACAUCAUACAGUAACCAGUAAUUCUGGGAACUGCGAGGGAGCAUGGUAGCUA